UACAGAGGUCUCAAGCGUUGUUCGGAUUCAUUGGGCGUAAAGGGUGCGUAGGCGGCGCGGUAAGUAGGGUGUGAAAGCCCCGGGCUUAACCUGGGAAUUGCGUUGGAGACUGCAAGGCUUGAAUCUGGCAGAGGGGGGUAGAAUUCCACGUGUAGCAGUGAAAUGCGUAGAGAUGUGGAGGAACACCGAUGGCGAAGGCAGCCCCCUGGGUCAAGAUUGACGCUCAUGCACGAAAGCGUGGGGAGCAAACAGG
rnacentral:rRNA from 1 species